rnacentral:rRNA from 1 species
UACGGAGGGGGCUAGUGUUGUUCGGAAUUACUGGGCGUAAAGGGCGCGUAGGCGGCUUGGUCAGUCCCGUGUGAAAUCCCUCGGCUCAACUGAGGAACUGCACGGGAAACUGCCUGGCUUGAGUUCGGGAGAGGGAAGCGGAAUUCCGGGUGUAGCGGUGAAAUGCGUAGAUAUCCGGAGGAACACCGGUGGCGAAGGCGGCUUCCUGGACCGACACUGACGCUGAGGCGCGAAAGCUAGGGGAGCAAACGGG